GCGCCUGUAGCUCAGCUUGGAUAGAGCACAGGGUUUCGAUCCCUGGUGUCGGAGGUUCGAAUCCUUCCAGGCGCGCCA
rnacentral:tRNA from 1 species